UGGGGAAUAUUGCACAAUGGGCGCAAGCCUGAUGCAGCCAUGCCGCGUGUAUGAAGAAGGCCUUCGGGUUGUAAAGUACUUUCAGCGGGGAGGAAGGGAGUAAAGUUAAUACCUUUGCUCAUUGACGUUACCCGCAGAAAAAGCACCGGCUAACUCCGUGCCAGCAGCCGCGGUAAUACGGAGGGUGCAAGCGUUAAUCGGAAUUACUGGGCGUAAAGCGCACGCAGGCGGUUUGUUAAGUCAGAUGUGAAAUCCCCGGGCUCAACCUGGGAACUGCAUCUGAUACUGGCAAGCUUGAGUCUCGUAGAGGGGGGUAGAAUUCCAGGUGUAGCGGUGAAAUGCGUAGAGAUCUGGAGGAAUACCGGUGGCGAAGGCGGCCCCCUGGACGAAGACUGACGCUCAGGUGCGAAAGCGUGGGGCAGCAAACAGGAUUAGAUACCCUGGUAGUCCACGCCGUAAACGAUGUCGACUUGGAGGUUGUGCCCUUGAGGCGUGGCUUCCGGAGCUAACGCGUUAAGUCGACCGCCUGGGGAGUACGGCCGCAAGGUU
rnacentral:rRNA from 1 species